rnacentral:lncRNA from 1 species
GAGAACUUUAAGGAAAGUUUGAGAGAGAGAGAAAGAAAGAUAGAGGUGAGGAGGACCUUCACAAAGAGUCCCAGGCUUUUGGCUGUGAAUGUCUCAAAUACAUUGACAAGUAGAUGUAUAAAAUGUUACUGAAAAGGUAAAAUGCCUAACGUCGUUUCCAACGGUUCCUCUGAACUUCUUCCCACAUACCACACCACACCCCAGAUGGCAGAGCCCAAAGGCCACACUUUUGAAAAAA